CCCUUAGAUGUUCUGGGCCGCACGCGCGCUACACUGAUGCAUUCAACGAGCCUAUCCUUGACCGACAGGUCCGGGUAAUCUUUGAAUCUGCAUCGUGACGGGGAUAGAUUAUUGCAAUUAUUAAUCUUCAACGAGGAAUGCCUAGUAGGCGCAAGUCAUCAGCUUGCGUCGAUUACGUCCCUGCCCUUUGUACACACCGCCCGUCGCUCCUACCGAUUGGGUGUGCUGGUGAAAUGUUCGGAUCGGCCGUUUGUCGCGGUUUCCGCGUCAUGUGGCUGAGAAGUUCAUUAAACCCUCCCACCGAGAGGAAGGAGAAGUCGUAACG
rnacentral:rRNA from 1 species